GGGAAAAAAAAUGCAGAUGUAGAAAAAAAAAAAAAAGCCAAAAACAGAAAUGUGUGCUUGGUAUUCGAACAGUAAUGAAUGAGUUAAAUGUAACAUAAGCCUUGAACCAUCAGCCUUAAAAUAGAAAAGAAUGUGCACCCCUUUAUCUGGAUGUCAAAUAGCCGUGGACGGCAGAGAGGGAGCGACGUGUCCUUCUCUGGGUACACGAGUGCAUGACUGUGAGCACAAACUGGCACUGCAUGCUGGCAGAGCAAACAUCUGAGCGAGAGUUCAGAGAUUAUACCUACUUGUAGAGCUCUGCCAGAAAAAUAUCCAGACUCUGUAGCUCCUCAAACAGGCCUGUAAAAAAAAAAAAAAGAACAUUAUGAACGGUCUGUCGAUGGCUGUUUCUCAAUAUGCCUUCUUCAGUAGUCUUGCGUCCUCGUGUCCUCGUGUUCUCGUAUUCUCGUCAUCAUCAGCUGCCAAAGUUUAGUUCCAAUACUCAAGACCGCAAGAACGGAGAACGCGUGAAACUUCCCGGAUAUGUUCUUGAUAUUGAGGACGCACCGAUGCAGACUUGAGCACCAAGCUUGCUCUAGAAGUUCCAGAAGUCAUUGCGACUGGAGGCAUGAAGGUCACGUGACCAUCAGGAAGAACGCAGCAUCUCAUUUCUCAGAGGAUGCGUUCUCUGUUCUCGUGGUCUCCCGAGUUCAUUCUUCCGAGGACACCUGGCAAGACCGGUCUCCAUGAGAACACAAGUCCGUUCUCUGCGUUCUUGGAAUUGAGAAAUAGCCUAUGUCUCAUGGAUAUGAUCAUAUGUGCCUGUAGGCUGCACAGAGCAAAAAUGAAAAUGAAAAUAAAGCUUAUGUAUUUGUU